UAUGAUUUUGAAACAUCUUAAUUUAGAAGUUUAGAGAGGUAAUCCAAAGUUGCCUUAAAAUUUAAAUUUGCCAUUGCAAACUUUCGAACAGGUGCAAAGUUUUGAAAAGAAAUUGCGACUAUCAGCACUGGAUAAGUUACAAUUAACUCAAUAUCUGGGCCUUCAAGGAGGUGUUACCGUGAAAGAAACUGUGAGACGAAUCAUGAAAAUGAUUAUGACUGACGAAUAGGCUAAAAGUUUCAAUUUUAUGGGCCAUGGAGAUAAACAUGCCUUUUCAGCACUACAGCUUAAGGAAAUCGUUUGUGAUUCCGUGCGCGCAAACUCAAUUACGAAAGAUGCCAAAAAUGCUGAAAUUGAGGCGUCUGUUAAAAAGUAGCUUCGAGUUUCCUCGGAUAGAGAUGGAGGCCGUAGAAAGAGAGCAGAAGACAAAACAAAUACCGAAAACUUUUAGAUAUUGUUACUAAAAAAUGUUAUAAUUUUAUUUUUGUUUUGAAAAAUGUUUUUUUUUUGUAUCUUUGUAAUCAUAAAUGUGUAAAUAACUUGU